AACGAACGCUGGCGGCAUGCCUAACACAUGCAAGUCGAACGAGACCUUCGGGUCUAGUGGCGCACGGGUGCGUAACGCGUGGGAACCUGCCCUUAGGUUCGGAAUAACUCCCCGAAAGGGGUGCUAAUACCGGAUAAUGUCUUCGGACCAAAGAUUUAUCGCCUUUGGAUGGGCCCGCGUUGGAUUAGCUAGUUGGUAGUGUAAAAGCCUACCAAGGCGACGAUCCAUAGCUGGUCUGAGAGGAUGAUCAGCCACACUGGGAGUGAGACACGGCCCAGAAUACUACGGGAGGCAGCAGUGGGGAAUAUUGGAAAAUGGGCGAAAGCAUGAUCCAGCAAUGACGCGUGAGUGAUGAAGGCCUUAGGGUUGUAAAGCUCUUUUACCCGGGAUGAUAAUGACAGUACCGGGAGAAUAAGCUCCGGCUAACUCCGUG
rnacentral:rRNA from 1 species